CCUACGGGGUGCAGCAGUGAGGAAUAUUGGUCAAUGGACGAGAGUCUGAACCAGCCAAGUAGCGUGAAGGAUGACUGCCCUAUGGGUUGUAAACUUCUUUUGUCAGGGAGCAAUUGAGUCCACGUGUGGGCUUAGCGAGAGUACCUGAAGAAAAAGCAUCGGCUAACUCCGUGCCAGCAGCCGCGGUAAUACGGAGGAUGCGAGCGUUAUCCGGAUUUAUUGGGUUUAAAGGGUGCGUAGGCGGAAUAUCAAGUCAGCGGUAAAAAUUCGGGGCUCAACCCCGUCGUGCCGUUGAAACUGAUGUUCUUGAGUGGGCGGGAAGUAUGCGGAAUGCGUGGUGUAGCGGGGAAAUGCAUAGAUAUCACGCAGAACUACGAUUGCGAAGGGAGCAUACCGGCGCCCAACUGACGCUGAAGCACGAAAGCGUGGGUAUCGAACAGGAUUAGAUACCCUGGUAGUC
rnacentral:rRNA from 1 species